GCUGCAUCGACGAUCUUCAAAAAUAGACCGAUAAGGGGAAUCGUCCCAUAAUUGAGAACUUUCCUGGGAAAACAAGUAUUCUCUGAGAACUUUAAGCUCAUAAUUUCUUUUUUCCAUCAACACUGGAUCUCUUAUCAAUAAUCUAUUAGCAAUCUUGCUAGAAGGAAGAUGUACUCGUUGAUCAGAAAGCAAUUCAGUUAAACGUUGAG